rnacentral:rRNA from 1 species
CAAGAGCGUAUGUAAAAGUUGUUGCAGUUAAAGAGCUCGUAGUUGAACCUUGGGUUUGGUUGGCCGGUCCGCUUUUUUGCGAGUACUGGAUUCAACCGAGCCUUUCCUUCUGGCUAACCAGUCGUUUCGGCGGCUGGCGAACCAGGAUUUUUACUUUGAGAAAAUUAGAGUGUUCAAAGCAGGCAUUAGCUUGAAUAUAUUAGCAUGGAAUAAUAGAAUAGGACGUUAUGGUUCUAUUUUGUUGGUUUCUAGGACCAUCGUAAUGAUUAAUAGGGACGGUCGGGGGCAUCAGUAUUCAGUUGUCAGAGGUGAAAUUCUUGGAUUUACUGAAGACUAACUACUGCGAAAGCAUUUGCCAAGGACGUUUUCAUUAA